AGUGAACGCUGGCGGUAGGCCUAACACAUGCCAGUCGAACGGCAGCACAGUAAGAGCUUGCUCUUACGGGUGGCGAGUGGCGGACGGGUGAGGAAUACAUCGGAAUCUACUUUUUCGUGGGGGAUAACGUAGGGAAACUUACGCUAAUACCGCAUACGACCUACGGGUGAAAGCAGGGGAUCUUCGGACCUUGCGCGACUGAAUGAGCCGAUGUCGGAUUAGCUAGUUGGCGGGGUAAAGGCCCACCAAGGCGACGAUCCGUAGCUGGUCUGAGAGGAUGAUCAGCCACACUGGAACUGAGACACGGUCCAGACUCCUACGGGAGGCAGCAGUGGGGAAUAUUGGACAAUGGGCGCAAGCCUGAUCCAGCCAUACCGCGUGGGUGAAGAAGGCCUUCGGGUUGUAAAGCCCUUUUGUUGGGAAAGAAAAGCAGCAGGUUAAUACCCCGCUGUUCUGACGGUACCCAAAGAAUAAGCACCGGCUAACUUCGUG
rnacentral:rRNA from 1 species